UGGGGAAUAUUGCACAAUGGGGGAAACCCUGAUGCAGCGACGCCGCGUGAACGAAGAAGGUAUUCGUAUCGUAAAGUUCUGUCCUAUGGGAAGAUAAUGACAGCACCAUAGAAGAAAGCUCCGGCUAAAUACGUGCCAGCAGCCGCGGUAAUACGUAUGGAGCGAGCGUUGUCCGGAAUUAUUGGGCGUAAAGGGUACGCAGGCGGUUUAAUAAGUCGAAUGUUAAAGAUCGGGGCUCAACCCCGUAAAGCAUUGGAAACUGAUAAACUUGAGUAGUGGAGAGGAAAGUGGAAUUCCUAGUGUAGUGGUGAAAUACGUAGAUAUUAGGAGGAAUACCAGUAGCGAAGGCGACUUUCUGGACACAAACUGACGCUGAGGUACGAAAGCGUGGGGAGCAAACAGG
rnacentral:rRNA from 1 species